AACAAAGUUUUGUGCCAUCCUGUGAAGCGCUGUGAAGUUUUCCAAUUGCUGUUUCACCUCAGCACUGCAUGUGACUCACAGAACGUGGAGAUGCCUGAGUUUGUAGCGCAGCGUGGAGACCUGCCCAGUGUUACUAUGUGUGCAUGCUGUGCUUGUUACAGAUCCAUGUGGAAGAGCUGUUCCCAGAUCUAACCAGGGUCGACUGCCUUGGCUUGCAAGGAGGCGACUACUGGAGCUGCGUUCAGCUCGGAGAACCGGCGAGCAGAAUUCAGCCCCUGUGUGAGCCGCCUGCACGCUGCUGCAGGCAUCUGACACCGUUUUUAGGGAAGGUGUCACACAUCUAGGGUGGAAGAUUCGCCUUCAGAGUGUGAGGAAAUGAGACGGAUGCUCAGUCCCAGAGCUUCUUCACAUCUGGUCUGCCUCCUGAAUUUGUCAAUAAGCCCACCAACUGUGAUGGUGCCUUUCCAGGCACGCCUGGAAAUCACAGUUGAAUUUAAUGCAGUAUUGACACUUCAGUGAACUGAUUUCUCUGAAUGCCAUGCCAAGCAGAUGAGAAGUCUUGUCAGCCAGUUUGGGUCAAGUCAGUCAUCCAAUCCCCAACCUAUAGCUUGUGGGAGUGGAGUACGACAAAUGAAGUCAUCAGAAAAGCACAAAGGUCUUGUGUCCUUGUGGGGAGAGGUGGAGGUGUAAGAGGAACAAUGUAUUUGAAAUAAAUCAAUAAAUCAAAGAUUCUGGUCCUGGGCC
rnacentral:lncRNA from 1 species